GUGAGUAGGGAUUGCACACAUCAAUUGUAUUUAAUGUCAGAACUAGCUGGAUAUGUUUUCACGUUUUUCUUUUUUUAUACUUACAUUUUUGUCAUGGUGUCAACAGUAUAAUUUUAUAGGAAAACGUUUAUUAACAUUGUACAGUUAAGUAGGAUAAGUGGCAAAUUGUCACAGUAGGAAAGCAUUGGUAUGGGAAUGAGAAUUCCUGAGGACAGGUAGCAGAUCUGUUGCUAAUGAGCAAGGUCAUGUCCUUUCAUUUCCAAAACUAACAGUCUGCAAAAGCGAAGAAUAAGAAAUGCCAACUCGGCCAGGCAUUGGUGGCGCACACCUUUAAUCCCAGCACUCGGGAGGCAGAGGCAGGAGUUCGAGGCCAGCCUGGUCUCCAAAGCUAGUGCCAGGAUGGGCUCCAAAGCCACACAGAGAAACUCUAUCUCGAAAAACCAAAAAAAAAAAAAAAAAAAAAAGAAAAAAAAGAAAAGAAAAGAAAAGAAAAAAGAAAAAAAAAAGAAAUGACAACACUGGGGCUGGAAUGAUGGCUCAGAGGUUGAGGUUAAGAGCACUGGCUGCUCUUCCAGAGAACCUGAGUUCAAUUCCCAGCACCCACAUGGUUGCUCACAACCAUCUGGUGUGCAAGGAUACAUGCAGGCAGAACACUGUAAACAUAAUAAAUAAAUACAUUUUUUUAAAAAAAAGAAAUCCCAGCAACCAUACAGGAAUAUGAUCAAAUGUGAUGCUGACAUACAGGCCAUGUUAACAUUCUUCUUGACACUGGCUUCUCCGUUAACAGUGAUUUAGAUGAAAAUCUAUGUAAAUGACCAAUGUGAGACAAAUCCUCAGGUAAAUAUUCCAAAUAGAUAAUCUAUUCUCACUCAGCCACAGAUAAACAACUCAACUAAAACUAGACAAUGAGCUUGAACAGGAUCUUCUUUGGAAUAGUCUACAGAUUACAAAUAGUCAAUAGAUAGACGAGAAGAAGAUGCCAAACACCCUCAAUCACCUAGGAGAGGACAUCAAAACUACAAGGAGAUGCUUCCUCUCACCUGUCAGGGAGCUGUUAUCAAGAAGACAAAUGGUAACAAAUAUGCGAAAAGCUGUGGGGGACAGGAGCCCUGUCCACUGUUGACAAGGAUGUACAGUGAUUAUGACAGAUGAGAAGAACCUCAAUGGGGGGCCUCCAAACUAUUGAAACAGAUGCUAUCUCCAUCUCUCAAGUGAUACAGCAAUUAUAAAGGUUAAGAGGGUAAAUCACCUGUUAGACUUCCUCACCACAAAAACAAGCAAGCAAAGAGAUGCCAGGAGCUGUAGGAUUUGGUGGAUGUGUCUAGUAUGGUGAAAUUUGCAUAUUCCCAACUCAUCAAGUUGUCCACAUCAAAUAUGUAUGGUUCCUCGUGUAUCAGUUAUCCUAAAAUGAAGCUGGCAGAAAACCAGGAGGUGGAUCUUAGAGUUUCUGAGUUGCUUCCACUGUCAAAACCAAACUGACCAAAGAAUUCCAAAGCACUCAGCAUUUUUGUUGGCUUUGGUAAAUUGGAGUCUGAUCAUUUCCCUUUUUUUUUUAAUUAAAUAUUUUCUUGAUGAUUUCUCUGUCACUUGUGUUUCAGGCACACCCUCACUAGGUCUGUGUCUUACUUUGUGUGAGAAAACACUGUGGCUAAAAACACAGAAGGAGGAAGAGGCUUUCUUUCAGCUUUCAGUCCCACAGCACGGUUGUGGUGGCUUGAAUGAAAAUGGCUCCUAUAUCCCCAUGAAGAGUGGAACAAUUAGGAGGGGUGCCCUGUCGGAGUGGUUGCAGUGUUGUUGGAGGAAGCAUGUCAUUGAGGGCGGGCUCUGAGGUCUCAGAAGCUCAAGCCAAGCCUAGAGGUUCACUGUCUGUUCCUGCUGCCUGCAGAUGCAGACAUAGGACUCUCAGCUACCUCUCCAGCACCAUGUCUGCCACCAUAACAAUAAUGGAUUAACCCUCUAACCUGUAAGCCAGCCCCAAUUAAAUGUUUUCCUCAGCCAAGGCAGUGGUGGUGCACGCCUUUAAUCCCAGCACUCAGGAACCAGAGGCAGGUGGAUCUCUGAGUUCAAGGGCAGCCUGGUCUACACAAUGUGUUCCAGGACAGCCAAGGCUACACACCCUGUCUCAAAAAGUCGGAAAAAAAAAAAAACUUUUCCUUUAUAAGAGUUGCCUUGGCUCAUCACUGGAGCAAGUCAAGCAGGGCAGGAACCUGGAGGCAGGAGCUGAUGCAGAGCCACACAGGAACACUGCUUACUGGGUUUCCCCCCAUGCCUUUUCAGCCUGCUUUCUUUCAGCAUCCAGCACCACCAGCCCAGGGGUGGCACUGUCCGGUUAGCUGGGCCCCUCCUACAUCAAUCACCAAUUAAGAAAAUGUACAGAAGGUACUCUGUAGGCUACUAAAAGAAACAUGGACACCAACCCAGUCACAAAACCUUUGACCUACAAUCUGUCCCACCUGAAAAAUAGGGCAAUGGUGCCACAGAACUUGUGGGAGUGGCCAAGCAGCAUCUGAUUUGAUUAAAAGCCCACUCCACAAAAAGGAAUGCAUACCCAACACUGCUUGGGUAACAAGAACCAGAGACUAGAUAGUUCAGAGACCUAGGGGAAAAACAAAACACUACUGGCAAGGGAGAAAAGGAGGGAGGGAAGCAGAGAGGGGAGAGAGAGAGAGAGAGAGAGAGAGAGAGAGAGAGAAGCUUCCUCUGGCAGAAGAUGGGAAGAGAUGCAGAGACCCAUAGUAGAGAAAGAGGCUAAAUUGGAGGUCUCCAUCAAAUCCCUCCCCUCAGAGCUCACAGGGUCCCUUGGAAGGAGAGGCUGGAGGACACCUGGAGAACAAGGCCCUCUGAAUCAGCUAAGCAAAGUACAUAUGAGCUCACAGAGACUGAGGCAGCAGUCACAGGGCCGACAGGGGUCUGCACCAGGUCCUCUGCAUCUGUACCACAGCUGUCAGCUUACUGUUUUUAUGGGACUCCUAACUGUGAGAACGAGUGAUGUCUGACUCCUGUGCCUGCUCUGGGGACUCUUCCUCCUACUGGGCUGCCAUGUCGGACUGCAGUAUCUCAUGUUUUACUUCAUUGUAUUAUUUUGCUUUGCCAUGUUUGGUUGCUAAUCUCUUAGAAGCCUGUUCUUUUCUACCGAGAGACAGAAGGCGAGUGGAUCCAGAGGAAAGAGGAAGUGGGGAGGAAGUCGGAGGAGAAGAGGAAGAAAGAAUAGAGGGGUUGAAAAGCUGGUUGGGCUCUGGGAUGUGCCCACAGGACACUGUUAUUUUACCUUGGAAGAAGAAAAGGGGAUCAAAUAAAAGCAUCCAAGCCUCACUUUGGGGGAGAGCCGAACAAGAGGGAAGUGAUGGUAGAAAGAAAAGCAUGGGCUCAAGGAAGCCCUCACAGCCCUCGACUGUUCUACAAAUCACAACUACAACAUCACAGUGGCACUGAGACGGGGGGAUGGCUUUGCCAGUUGCAUGCUUAGAGCCACCUCAUCAACAGUGUUAAGGACAAAAUCCUAGAGCCCUCGGGUGUGGAAAGAGAGAAAACUCAGACAGAAAAACAGCAAUGACAAAUACCAAGGAGGAGAUGAGGAACUCAAGACCCCUGCAAAGGUAAGAUUGUGUGGUAAGAUAGCGCGGACAGCCAGAUGUGCCAAGUGUUGAAAAGAGAAGAAGGAAAAGAUGGCUGAGAUAUGCCCAAGAGUUUUGUCAAUAUGUGGCCACCGGUACCACCUGUAAUUCUGUGUUUGCCUCUGAAGCACAUUCCUGAAAGGAAACACGGGUGAAGAGACAUAUUAGCAAAACUAAGACAGAGAAAUCUCUUGCUGGGUAGAAGAGUUGAAUCUGAAAAGUGUGAGCCAUGAAGACAACUAAACAAUGUCCAGAUCACUGCAACAGGAUGGAGAGAUGUGGAGGACACUAGCCUCAAACUUGGCGCAGAGACAAGACAGAGCCAGCCUUGGAAUUCAAUUCUGUAAGCUGGGCCUGCUGUUGAGGAGGGCAGAUGGCAAGAGGAGGACUGGCCAAGGAGGACAAAUGCUGUCACAAUGGGCCAUGAAGUCUUCACCAAGUAGAGAGAGCGUGAAAGAGAACAUGGCCAAUUCUAGGAAAUGAGUCAAGGGCAUCCAAACAGCAUCGGAGAAUUGGAGAUCACUGGGAUCCUGCCAGUGGAGUGUGGCUCACGGACAAGACUCCAGUCCUCAGGCCCCUUCUUUUCUUACUCCUGUAUCCUCUCUUCCCAGAUUUCUCCUCCUAUAUAUUCUCUCUGCCUUCCAGCCCGUUCUCUCUCCUGCUUAGCUAUUGGCCAUUCAGCUCUUUAUUAGACCAAUCAGAUGUUUUAGACAGGUAAAGUAAAUGCAACCUCACGGAGUUAAGCCUCACGGAGUUAAGCAAAUGCAACCUUAACAAAUAUAACCCAUCUUUGCAUCAUUAAACAAUACUCCACAGAACAAGCAAAUGUAACACAUCUUCAGCUAAUAUUCCACACAAGGUAGGUGCCAGGUAAUGACACAUGUCUUUAAAUCCUCUUUAUUCUGUCAGCACCACAUACAAUGACAUACUUUACUAAGUUCUCAUUCAAACAUACACAUGCAUGUAAUGAUAAGUGUUUCUGCCAAGCUGCUCAGGCCCUGCUUCCAUAUGGGCGCUUUCCGCCAGGCCGCUCAAGUUCUACCCGACACCACGUUAAGGUCCCAAAUAACACAGAGAGACUUCUAUUAGGUACAAAUGCUGUUUGGCCAAUGACUAGGAUUUCUCACCUGCUAGCUCAGUCUUAAUUAUCAUAAAUAUAUAUUUUAUAAGACUUAUACAGGACGCCUUCCGGUGGUUCCCUCUCUUGCCGGCAGAUCACAUGGCAACUCCAGAGCAGAGACCAGGAGGAAGAGAGAAGGGGACAACUUCCUUCUUACCCUUGCUUAUAUAUGAGUCUCUCUGUUAUGUCACUUCCUGCCUGGAUCACCACUUUUUUACUACAUUUCCCAGAAUCCUCCUUGACUCCUAGUCCCACCUAACUUGCUGCCUCAUUGGCCAAAUAGUACUUUAUAUAUCAUCCAAUAAGACAAUCAUAUACACAGAAGGACCUCCCCCAUCACAUGCACACACACAGAGUGAGCAGAAAUAAAAUCAUCCCUGUCCAUAGCAGGUCAGGAAUCGGUCUCCUCUUUCUUCUCCAUGCAUCACAAGGGCAGAGGAUGAAAGCUUGGGACAUUCAUCAAUGAGCACACUGGUUCUCCUUCAUAACAUGGCAGAAGACAUCACACAGUGUCAUGUGGUGACAGGGUGGCUUCUGUUCUCUAAUCUAUCAUAACUUUUCCCACUGUGAUUGUCCUGUUCCCUCAAUUACCUUAAUCUAUCAGAAGGGCAGACUUGUGGUGACCUUAAACACUUCCUAAAGGCUCUGUCUCCAGUCUCACCACAGUAACAAAUUUCAGAGGGCUCCUCUGUGUCAGUCUCUCAGUACGUGGGGGCCACAAUGAUAACAAGGGAGAGGACAUCUAAUGAACAUCGAGGACUAAAUAUAAGGUGUGUUCUGUGGUGAUAUUUUGUUUGUGAUCUAACAAAUAAAGCUUGAAGAUUAGAGUGCAGAGCUAGCCACACUAGUUAGCCAUAGAGGCCAGGCAGUGGUGGUACACACCUUUAAUCCCAGCACUCAGGAGACAGAGGCAAGCGGAUCUCUGUGAGUUCAAGGCCACCCUGGACUACACGAAAUUGAUCCAGUCAAAAAGAGAAACAGCCAAGUGGUGGUGGCUCACACAUUUAAUCCCAGUACUUGGGAGUCACAUGUGUUUAAUCCCAACACAAGGGAGGUGGAGGCAGGAGAAAUGUGGCUGGGUAAAGAGAAGAAUAUAAGGUGGGAUAGUUCCUAUCAAAACACAGCAAUGCAAAGAUGCUCAGUAGAAGACAACCUUGGGAAGUUGGAGCUUUAGGAGAAUUUAGUAUUCCCUUGUAAUAUUCAUACCUGAUGUACUCUCUACCAGACACCGCCCCCCUCUCCCCAGGUCCCU
rnacentral:lncRNA from 1 species